rnacentral:lncRNA from 1 species
AGGCUUUCCCAGUUUGACAACUGUAUUUUAACUCAACUUGCAAAAAGUUAAUUUAAGAUUUUGUUUGAAGAGUAGAAGAGGCUCAACAAGAAAGAAAAUAUCCCACUGAAGAGGUAUAUAAUUCUCCUUAAUUAACUUUUUUUUUUAAAAGGGCAUUGCUACCCCUGUUAUAACAAUGCU